rnacentral:rRNA from 1 species
UACGGAGGUGGCAAGCGUUGCUCGGAUCACUGGGCGUAAAGGGCGCGUAGGCGGGGAGGUAAGUCGGGUGUGAAAUCCCUCGGCCCAACCGAGGAACUGCGCCCGAGACUGCUUCUCUUGAGUCCCGGAGAGGAGAUGGAAUUCCCGGGUGUAGCGGUGAAAUGUGUUGAUAUCAGGAGGAACACCCAUGGCGGAAAGGGCAGCAAAAC